UGGGGAAUAUUGCACAAUGGGCGAAAGCCUGAUGCAGCAACGCCGCGUGAGGGAAGACGGUUUUCGGAUUGUAAACCUCUGUUUUCGGUGACGAACAAAUGACGGUAACCGAGUAGGAAGCCACGGCUAACUACGUGCCAGCAGCCGCGGUAAUACGUAGGUGGCAAGCGUUAUCCGGAAUAACUGGGCGUAAAGGGCAUACAGGCGGUUCAUCAAGUAGGAUGUGAAAUCCCCGGGCUCAACCUGGGAACAGCAUACUAAACUGGUGGACUAGAGUACUGCAGGGGGAGACGGAAUUCCAGGUGUAGCGGUGGAAUGCGUAGCUAUCUGGAAGAACACCAAAAGGCGAAGGCAGUCUCCUGGGCA
rnacentral:rRNA from 1 species